rnacentral:rRNA from 1 species
CCCGCACAAGCAGCGGAGCGUGUGGUUUAAUUCGAUGUUACACGAAGAACCUUACCAGGGUUUGACAUGCAAGUGGUAGGGAAGCCCGAAAGGGACCGACCCUUCGGGAGCCUAUACAGGUGUUGCAUGGCUGUCGUCAGCUCGUGUCGUGAGAUGUUCGGUUAAGUCCGCUAACGAGCGCAACCCUCGUCGUAUGUUAUAUGUGUCAUACGAGACUGCCGGUAAAAGCCGGAGGAAGGUGAGGAUGAUGUCAAGUCAGCAUGACCUUUAUAUCCAGGGCUACACACGCUACAAUGGUCUGUACAAUGGGUAGCCAAGCCGCGAGGCGGAGCCAAUCCUGAAAGCAGGCCUCAGUUCAGAUUGCAGUCUGCAACUCGACUGCAUGAAGCCGGAGUUGCUAGUAACCGCAGGUCAGCAAUACUGCGGUGAAUACGUUCCCGGGUCUU